rnacentral:hammerhead_ribozyme from 1 species
AUCCAGCUGACAAGUCCUAAAUAGGACGAAGUUUCGCGCGUGCUGGAU